UGAACGCGCAGCAUGCGGAUACUAAAGGAUAACAACAAUAUCGUUAUUUACCAAUCGCUCUGAGCCUGGCUCAACCAAAACCAAAGCAACGCCAGUCAGCGAGUUGCCGCCAAAGUGCGACGAGUGUUUUUUAAAAGAAUUUCUUGUGAAUCAUUUUGCGGAUUAUAUAUUUUAAUUACGUGCGUGACUGUGUGUUUGCGUAAUUUUUAAUUGUUACAUUUCAUAACCGACCGACUUCAAAACAAUGACAAGCCCAAUUUUGGCCGCUGUCAGGCGUUGUAUUCGCCACAGCGGCAAUUCAACAUUGUUGCACAGCAACAACAGCAGCAACAACGCGAUGACAACGUUGAAAUUGUGAAGCUGAAGCUGGGGUGUCAAAACCGCAAAUCCAAACUGGACAUCCAAAAGGUCCGACAACAUAUCCUAACGUCCAAACGUCCAGCUGCAGAAUUCACAACGUGCCACUUGCAACGUGCCACAGCAGCCGCAAAUAAAAUUCUGACACCUCCACACAUAUAUACAUAUAUAUGUUAUAAGCAUACGUUGUCCUACACUCCGCUUCACUCCGCGUUCGCGUCGCGUUUCGUUGGCAGCCAGCUACCCAAAAAUGUCGGUUUAGUUGUGCCAUUAUCUGUGCGUACACCACGUAUAUAUGAAUGCGUUCUCUGGGCUGCCACCCCCUCUUCGUCCGCCUCCACCUCCGUCUCCGUCUCGUUUUCGUAUGUGUUUCGUCGUGCGGUACGUGUCGCUAACCAAAAUGCAGCCACCAGUCGCCAUUGCAGGCCGUCCGAACAAUAAAUAAAUACUUGAGCGUAUGAACAAACAUACUCGAUGAUGCAUAACAAAAGCAAGAACAGUAAUAAACAAAAGUGAAAUAUAAACAAAAUUUAAUCAUUUAAGCAUAACUUAUAACGAUACAUAUCAAUAUUAGUCUGAUUUUGUUUUACAACAAAUAUAGAAAUAUUAAACAAAAAGUUAAAUGCAAUAAGCAAAAAAAUAUAUCAAUAAUCAUAUCAAGAAAUAUUCUGUGUGUGCUUUUAUUCAAAUUAAAUCUUACACUUUAUAUGCAUUUUUCAACCGAAUAGAAAGUUAACCUUUUACUUGCGGAAUUAAACAAGAAAUUUCUUAAUAGAAUCUAAUUCAAUUUGAAGGCAAAACGAAAACACGCGAAAAGUUUGUGCAACAUUUUACGAGUGUCGCGAGUGCUCCACGUCUAUGUGCAAGAGUGUGUGUGUACGUCUAUGUGUAUGUGUGAGUUACCGUUACUUAGCGGCAAAUCGCUUUGUCAUGUAAUGUCUUUAUGUCGCAGAACGGAUCAAGUGCUUAAACGCUAAGCAAAAGCCUCCUAUGGAUUUAUAUGCAUAAAGGAAGCACACACACACACACACACACACGCAUGCUCGCCAUAAGUUGAAACGAGGCGAUAUAGAAGCCGGAGAAGUUUAGCCGCGUACACGCAAACGGAUUAGUUCAAACAUAAAAAAAAUAAAACACAAAAAAGCAAAAAAAAAGAAUAACGUACAUUCGCAUAUAAAACAUUCCACACGCCGAAGAACAAAAAGCUGAAGGUGAACCAAAAUAAAAGAAAGUGAACACACAAGAACAAAAAAAAAAUAAA